UGGGGAAUAUUGCACAAUGGGCGCAAGCCCGAUGCAGCAACGCCGCGUGAACGAUGAAGGUCUUCGGAUCGUAAAGUUCUGUUGCAGGGGAAGAUAAUGACGGUACCCUGUGAGGAAGCCCCGGCUAACUACGUGCCAGCAGCCGCGGUAAUACGUAGGGGGCUAGCGUUAUCCGGAUUUACUGGGCGUAAAGGGUGCGUAGGUGGUCUUUCAAGUCGGUGGUUAAAGGCUACGGCUCAACCGUAGUUAGCCUCCGAAACUGGAAGACUUGAGUGCAGGAGAGGAAAGUGGAAUUCCCAGUGUGGCGGUGAAAUGCGUAGAUAUUGGGAGGAACACCAGUAGCGAAGGCGGCUUUCUGGACUGCAACUGACCCUGAGGAACGAAAGCGUGGGUAGCAAACAGG
rnacentral:rRNA from 1 species